GGAAUAUUGGUCAAUGGAGGCAACUCUGAACCAGCCAUGCCGCGUGCAGGAAGACGGCCCUCUGGGUUGUAAACUGCUUUUAUUCGGGAAUAAACCUACUUACGUGUAAGUAGCUGAAUGUACCGAAGGAAUAAGGAUCGGCUAACUCCGUGCCAGCAGCCGCGGUAAUACGGAGGAUCCAAGCGUUAUCCGGAUUUAUUGGGUUUAAAGGGUGCGUAGGCGGCCUAUUAAGUCAGGGGUGAAAGACGGUAGCUCAACUAUCGCAGUGCCUUUGAUACUGAUGGGCUUGAAUGGACUAGAGGUAGGCGGAAUGUGACAAGUAGCGGUGAAAUGCAUAGAUAUGUCACAGAACACCGAUUGCGAAGGCAGCUUACUAUGGUCUUAUUGACGCUGAGGCACGAAAGCGUGGGGAUCAAACAGGAUUAGAUACCCCAG
rnacentral:rRNA from 1 species